UCCCUCUCAGGGUCGCAGCCGGGGAGUUUCCAGGACUCUACCAGUCUCGGCUACGGGAGGGAGAGUCAAGCAGAGGCCUGUCCGUUCCAUUCCUAGCUCGGGCAGUGGCUAGUGAGUGGAAGGCCAUCUGCCACAAGG
rnacentral:snoRNA from 1 species